UAAAGCCUUUGGGUUCUGUUCAGGUGUCCUUGCUGAGAGCCAACACACAGGUAAAGCUGGAUUUUCCAGAAACAGAAAAGGCUGAUACCUUCCACGGAGCAAAGACAGAGUAAGAGAAAAAGGUCAAGAAAAAGCAAGAACGACAACGAAGAUGGCCCCUGGAACUACAGGUGCUCCUGGACUCCAUGGCACGCUGAGAUGCCUUAAGGCACCUGUGUCGCCUUGACCGUCGUGCCUCCCGCCUCCCUGCCCGGCGCUGGCAAGAGUCAGUUGGAGAAAGCUGAUCUUCUCUGUUGUUGCAACCCAGCAAGACUAUUUACUACACCAUGAUGGCAGCAGUCGCCCAAAUAGGAGACCCCAAGCUUCCCUAGGCUGUAGACUGGGAAAUUGAGAAAACAUCUUGAAAGAAGACCAUGACAAAUACUUUCAUCUCUCUACCGAGAACACAACAUGGAAGGGCCAGGAAUCAAGCUUGUCUCAAAUUAUCAUAUGUUAUAAGGCCUCUUCACAAAUCUUCCUUCUUUGUGAUAGUUUAAUUUUUGUUUUUUGGCAUGCAACUUAAGCUUUUGGAGGUAAAAAAAUACCACUUAGUAGCGAGGAGAGGGAGUUUUUGAAAAUAAUAAAGGUACCUUAUUAAAUAAUCAUAAAUCAGUACUUCAUAUACCCCACAGUUGAGUCUUGGUUUUUGAAGGAAGCUUGGAAGUUAAGCUCUUGGUCAGAUUAAAUGUGGAAUCAGGUUAAUCCAAGGUCUCUGCCAAAAAAUGUGCCAUUCCUAAUUCUGGGUGACAUGGAAGAUUUACACUGCUUAAA